CGUUAACGGGGGAGGGGACUACAAUAAAAAAAACAAAUGUAGGCAUAUGUAUCACGCCGCGUACUGUGUCAACAUUUAUCACCCCGUGACGUCAUAAUACACAUGACGUAACUUAUAUUGUGUAUAGACUGUUCUGGCAGAUGUGUUGCUGGACCUAGUGUCACACACUUAUUACCAGCACAACAGGCGGAUCAUCGACUAUGAUCACUCGAGCGCGGCUGAUGGAAGAUGAUGAUCUAAGCGGCUGUUUGACGAUGAUGAUCUAAGUGGCAGAUGGACGAUGGUGAUCUAAGCGGCUGAUGGACGAUGAUGAUCUAAGCGGCUGAUGGACUAUGAUGAUCUAAGCGGCUGGUGGACUAUGAUGAUCUAAGUGGCUGAUAGACGAUGAUGAUCUAACUGGCUGAUGGACGAUGAUGAUCUAACUGGCUGAUGGACGAUGAUGAUCUAACUGGCUGAUGGACUAUGAUGAUCUAAGCGGCUGAUGGACUAUGAUGUUCUAAGUGGCUGAUGGACGAUGAUGAUCUAACUGGCUGAUGGACUAUGAUGAUCUAAGCAGCUGAUGGACGAUGAUGAUCUCAGCGGCUGAUGGACGAUGAUGAUCUAAGCGGCUGAUGGACGAUGAUGAUCUCAGCGGCUGAUGGACGAUGGUGAUCUAAGCGGCUGAUGGACUAUGAUGAUCUAAGCGGCUGAUGGACUAUGAUGAUCUAAGCAGCUGAUGGACUAUGAUGAUCUAAGUGGCUGAUGGAAGAUGAUGAUCUAACUGGCUGAUGGACGAUGAUGAUCUAAGCGGCUGAUGGACUAUGAUGAUCUAAGCGGCUGAUGGAAGAUGAUGAUCUAACCGGCUGUUUGACGAUGAUGAUCUAAGUGUCUGAUGGACGACGAUGAUCUAAGUGGCUGAUGGACUAUGAUGAUCUAAGCGGAUGAUGGACUAUGAUGAUCUAAGUGGUUGAUGGACGAUGAUGAUCUAACUGGCUGAUGGACGAUGAUGAUCUAAGCGGCUGAUGGACUAUGAUGAUCUAAGUGGGUGAUGGACGAUGAUGAUCUAAGCGGCUGAUGGACUAUGAUGAUCUAAGUGGCUGAUGGACGAUGAUGAUCUAACUGGCUGAUGGACGAUGAUCAUCUCAGCGGCUGAUGGACGAUGAUGAUGUCAGCCACUGGUGGACGAUGAUGAUCUGUGCGGCUGAUGGACUAUGGUGAUCUAAGCGGCUGAUGGACUGAUGAUCUAAGCGCCUGAUGGACUAUGAUGAUCUAAGCAGCUGAUGGACUAUGAUGAUCUAAGUGGCUGAUGGACGAUGAUGAUCUAACUGGCUGAUGGACGAUGAUGAUCUAACUGGCUGAUGGACGAUGAUGAUCUAACUGGCUGAUGGACGAUGAUGAUCUCAGCGGCUGAUGGACGAUGGUGAUCUAAGUGGCUGAUGGACUAUGAUGAUCUAAGCGGCUGAUGGACUAUGAUGAUCUAAGCGGCUGGACUAUGAUGAUCUAAGUGGCUGAUAGACGAUGAUGAUCUAACUGGCUGAUGGACGAUGAUGAUCUAACUGGCUGAUGGACGAUGAUGAUCUCAGCGGCUGAUGGACGAUGGUGAUCUAAGUGGCUGAUGGACUAUGAUGAUCUAAGCGGCUGAUGGACUAUGAUGAUCUAAGCGGCUGAUGGACUACGAUGAUCUAAACGGCUGAUGGACUAUGAUGAUCUAAGUGGCUGAUGGACGAUGAUGAUCUAAGCGGCUGAUGGACUAUGAUGAUCUAAGUGGCUGAUGGACGAUGAUGAUCUAAGUUGCUGAUGGACGAUGAUGAUCUAAGCGGCUGAUGGACGAUGAUGAUCUGAGCGGCUGAUGGACGAUAAAAAAUGAUCUGAACAGCUGGUGGACGAUGAUGAUCUAAGCGGCUGAUGGACGAUGAUGAUCUCAGCGGCUGAUGGAGGAUAAUGAUCUGAGCGGCUGAUGGACGAUGAUGAUCCGAGCGGCUGAUGGACGAUGAUGAUCUGAGUGGCUGGUGGACGAUGAUUUCUAAGCAACAGGUUGACAGCCUACAGCAUUAUCUCUUAAUGGUUGCUAUAUUGCUGACAGUUCGUUUUCUCCAUACAUAGAUACACUUGAAUACAUGAACAGUGUUAUUUCUUGGGUAGGAAAAAGUCACCUUAUAUAUUAUUAUGUCUGAGAAAGAAUAUCAGUUAUCGUCAUCACGUUAAACUUUCUUGUAGAAUGCUAUCCAGGUCCUGGUGUGUUGCACGACCCGAUGGUGCGAUGAACAAUUAGCUAUAGAGCUACGAUGUGUUGAUGUAUCGCUCCAUAGCUCAUCGCACCACUCCAUUGUUCAUCACACCAUCGGGUCAACGUGCAAUGCAUCACACAGUCGCAUCGUACAUGGUAUGAUGUGUUGCACUACCCGAUGGCGUAAUGAACAUUUGGAGUGACGCGAUUAGCUGUAGAGCGAUAUGAUGUGUCGAUGUAUCGCUCCAUAGCUCAUCGCACCACUCCAUUGUUCAUCACACCAUCGGGUCAACGUGCAAUGCAUCACACAGUCGCAUCGUACAUGGUAUGAUGUGUUGCACUACCCGAUGGUGUAAUGAACAUUUGGAGUGACGCGAUUAGCUGUAGAGCGAUAUGAUGUGUCGAUGUAUCGCUCCAUAGCUGAUCGCAUCACUCCAGAGUUCAUCAUGCCAUCGGAUUAUCAUGCAAUGCAUCCCACAGUCGCAUCGUACAUGGUAUGAUGUGUUGCACACACCCGAUGGUGCGAUUAACAAUCGCAGGAUGGAGUGAUGCGAUUAGCUAUAGAGCGAUACGGUAUGUCGAUUUUCGCUUUGUGGCUGAUAGCACCACUCCAGAGUUCAUCACACCAUCGGGUCAACAUGCAAUGCAUCACACAGUCGCAUCGUACAUGGUAUGAUGUGUUGCACUACUCGAUGGUGCGAUGAACAAUCGCAGGAUGGAGUGAUGUGAUUAGCUAUAGAGCGAUACGAUGUUUCGAUGUAUCGCUCCAUAGCUCAUCGCACCACUCCAUUGUUCAUCAAACCAUCGGCUUAACGUGCAAUGCAUCACACAGUCGCAUCGUACAUCGUAUGAUGUGUUGCAUGACCCGAUGAUGCGAUGAAUAUUUGGAGUGACGCGAUUAGCUGUAGAUCGAUACGAUGUGUUGGUGUUUUGCUCCAUAGCUCAUCGCAUCACUCCACUAUCCAUCACGCCAUCAGCUUAAUGUCAAAUGCAUCACACAGUUGGAUCGUGGAUAGCAUCACGGUAUCAAUCAUACUUUUAAAUUUUUAUGGCGAUUAAAAAUGAUGUUCUUUCUCGGCCAUCCUAUAUAUUUUCUCUGUCUACCGACAUCAAAAAGAGAUUUUUGCAGUCAGCUAUUCCAGUGUAUAGUGUGUGCUACUAUAAUGUAUAAUAGCUAAAACAUUAUGACGUGCCAUUUUCUAGUGAAUGGGGUUAAGAGUGGAGUUAUGUACAAUAAUAAACGAACAUAAUCUGUCAUAUUUCAUUGUACAUGGGAGAAGUGGUGUUAUGUAUAAUUAUAAAACAAACUCCAGUAAUAUUACAAUGUUUCGGAGAGGGGUGAUGUUAUAUAUAAUAAAAAAAUAAUAUAGCCGGCAAUAAUCCCAUGUAUUUUGGUGUGGGAGUGCAGGAUGUGUUCAUGUGUGUAAUACACAGUGGAUGAGUGUAGUCUACUAGAUUCCAGUGUAUGAUGGGAAGCUUCAAGGGGUGGUAUUAUGUAUAAUUGUAAAACAAACCAUCCUGCUAUAUUGCAGUGUAUGGAAAAGAAGUAGUGUUACGUACAUAACAAAAUAUUCCUGUUGUAUUCCAGAGUAUAGGCAAUAGGAUGGUAUUAUGUAUGAUAACAAAAACAACAUAGCCUGCUCUAUUGCAGUGUAUAGAAGAGAAGUGGUGUUACGUACAUAACACAAUAUUCCUGUUGUAUUCCAGUGUAUAGACAAUGGGAUGGUAUUAUGUAUUAUAACAAAAACAAUAUAGCCUGCUCUAUUGCAGUGUAUAGAAGAGAAGUGGUGUUAUGUACAUAACACAAUAUUAGUGUUGUAUUCCAGUGUAUGGGCAAUGGGAUGGUAUUAUAUAUGAUAACAAAACCAAUAUAACCUGCAAUACUGCAGUGCAUAGAAGAGAAGUGGUCUUACUUGCAUAACACAAUAUUCUUGUUCUAUUCCAGUGUAUAGACAAUGAGAUGGUAUUAUGUAUGAUAACAAAAACAAUAUAGUCUGCUCUACUGCAGUGUAUAGAAGAGAAGUGGUGUUAUGUACAUAACACAAUAUUAGUGUUGUAUUCCAGUGUAUAGACAAUGGGAUGGUAUUAUGUAUGAUAACAAAAGCAAUAUAACCUGCAAUACUGCAGCAUAUGGAAGAGAAGUGGUCUUACGUAUAUAAUAACAAAAUAUUCCUGUUGUAUUCCAGUGUGUAGGCAAUGGGAUGGUAUUGUGUAUGAUAACAAAAACAAUAUAGCCUGCUAUAUUACAAUACUCUAGCUGAGGGAGUCGUGCCAUUUGUAAAUAUAUUGUAUAUAUUUUGUUAUAUUAAAUGUACCUUUUCGUAUGUAUAAACUUGUGUCAUUUUAUCAAUAAACUUUAUUCAAAUA
rnacentral:lncRNA from 1 species